rnacentral:rRNA from 1 species
GACAGAGGUGCCAAGCGUUAGGCGGAAUCACUGGGCUUAAAGCGCGUGUAGGUGGCGGCCUAAGUACCUUGUGAAAUCCUGCGGCUCAACCGCAGAACUGCUUGGUAUACUGGGUCGCUUGAGCCAUCCAGGGGCAACUGGAACAAGCGGUGGAGCGGUGAAAUGCGUAGAUAUCGCUUGGAACGCCAAAGGUGAAAACAGGUUGCUGGGGAUGAGCUGACGCUCAGGCGCGACAGCGUGGGGAUCAAACAGG